rnacentral:rRNA from 1 species
UGGGGAAUAUUGCACAAUGGAGGGAACUCUGAUGCAGCGACGCCGCGUGAACGAAGAAGGCUUUCGAGUCGUAAAGUUCUUUUAUAUGGGAAGAUAAUGACGGUACCAUAAGAAAAAGCCCCGGCUAACUACGUGCCAGCAGCCGCGGUAAUACGUAGGGGGCUAGCGUUGUCCGGAAUCACUGGGCGUAAAGGGUUCGCAGGCGGAAAUGCAAGUCAGGUGUAAAAGGCAGUAGCUUAACUACUGUAAGCAUUUGAAACUGCAUAUCUUGAGAAGAGUAGAGGUAAGUGGAAUUUUUAGUGUGACGGUGAAAUGCGUAGAUAUUAAAAAGAAUACCGGUGGCGAAGGCGACUUACUGGGCUCAUUCUGACGCUGAGGAACGAAAGCGUGGGUAGCAAACAGG